rnacentral:lncRNA from 12 species
UAGUGAUAAGCAAAACAGGGAGAAAUCCAAGUGUACCUCAGACCUUAAGGAGUGGAAACAAGAGUACAGCAAAUUUGGGAGCACCUUGGGUGUGGUAUUACCUUGCUUAUUUAUGUCUGACCAAGAGCAGGAUGGAUGAAGGUCUGGGCAGCCUGGUCUAGUGGAAGGUUCCCUGCCCAUGGUAGGGGUUUGGAACGUGAUGAUCUUCCAACCCAAAACAUUCCAUGAUUCCAUGAUUCUAUGCCUCUGUGACUCUGUGACUCUGUGACUGCAGCUCUCAUACUCUGAGCCCUGGAUGGUUCCAGGUCAUCUCAGUCAUGGCCUGGUGAAGUUCCCUGUCUUCUCAAAACAGUUUUUCCCAUUUAAAGGACCUCUUCUGUCCCCUCACCAUGCACAAGAGGCCAUAGGAGACUGGGAGAUGAACUGUGCUAAUCCAGGCUGUCCACCCGUCCAAUCCUUGUGCUCCCAGCCUUGUCUCACAGAUGCUUCCCUCUCCAAAAUUCAGCCUUGA